UACGGAGGGUGCGAGCGUUGUCCGGAAUCACUGGGCGUAAAGGGCGCGUAGGUGGCACGGUCAGCGUGUGGUGAAAGUCCGGGGCUCAACCCCGGAUCUGCCGUGCGGACUGGUUUGCUAGAGCACUGUAGAGGCGAGUGGAAUUCCGGGUGUAGCGGUGGAAUGCGUAGAGAUCCGGAAGAACACCGGUGGCGAAGGCGGCUCGCUGGGCAGUGGCUGACGCUGAGGCGCGACAGCGUGGGGAGCAAACAGG
rnacentral:rRNA from 1 species